rnacentral:rRNA from 1 species
AUUGAACGCUGGCGGCAUGCUUUACACAUGCAAGUCGAACGGUAACAGGUUAAGCUGACGAGUGGCGAACGGGUGAGUAAUGCAUCGGAACGUGCCCGGUCGUGGGGGAUAACACUUCGAAAGAAGUGCUAAUACCGCAUACGAUCUGAGGAUGAAAGCGGGGGACCGUAAGGCCUCGCGCGAUCGGAGCGGCCGAUGUCAGAUUAGGUAGUUGGUGGGGUAAAGGCCCACCAAGCCGACGAUCUGUAGCUGGUCUGAGAGGACGACCAGCCACACUGGGACGGAGACACGGCCCAGACUCCUACGGGAGGCAGCAGUGGGGAAUUUUGGAUAAUGGGCGCAAGCCUGAUCCAGCAAUGCCGCGUGCAGGAAGAAGGCCUUCGGGUUGUAAACUGCUUUUGUACGGAGCGAAAAGGCUCUCUCUAAUACAGGGGGCUGAUGACGGUACCGUAAGAAUAAGCACCGGCUAACUACGUGCCAGCAGCCGCAGUAA